rnacentral:rRNA from 2 species
GUGGGGAUUAGUGGCGAACGGGUGAGUAACACGUGGGCAAUCUGCCCUGCACUCUGGGACAAGCCCUGGAAACGGGGUCUAAUACCGGAUACUGACCCGCCUGGGCAUCCAGGCGGUUCGAAAGCUCCGGCGGUGCAGGAUGAGCCCGCGGCCUAUCAGCUUGUUGGUGAGGUAACGGCUCACCAAGGCGACGACGGGUAGCCGGCCUGAGAGGGCGACCGGCCACACUGGGACUGAGACACGGCCCAGACUCCUACGGGAGGCAGCAGUGGGGAAUAUUGCACAAUGGGCGCAAGCCUGAUGCAGCGACGCCGCGUGAGGGAUGACGGCCUUCGGGUUGUAAACCUCUUUCAGCAGGGAAGAAGCGCAAGUGACGGUACCUGCAGAAGAAGCGCCGGCUAACUACGUGCCAGCAGCCGCGGUAAUACGUAGGGCGCGAGCGUUGUCCGGAAUUAUUGGGCGUAAAGAGCUCGUAGGCGGCUUGUCGCGUCGGUUGUGAAAGCCCGGGGCUUAACCCCGGGUCUGCAGUCGAUACGGGCAGGCUAGAGUUCGGUAGGGGAGAUCGGAAUUCCUGGUGUAGCGGUGAAAUGCGCA